rnacentral:rRNA from 1 species
AUGACGGUCUUAAGUUGGAACUGCCGGGGUUUAGGGCAACCCCGGACAGUUCAGGAACUAGUGUGCUUGGUGCACACGUACAAGCCCAAGCUUGUGUUCCUUUCCAAGACACGGCAAAGCAACUCGUAUGUUAAUAAGUUGAAGUGGAGGCUUGGUCUAAGGCAUUUUAUCACGCAACCCGGCAUAGGAAAAGGAGCCGUCAUUGCACUCUUCUAUGAUGAAAGUGUCGAAGUAAUAAAGCUUGCCGUUGGCCCAAGGUAUUUUGAUGUGUUGGUUCGUUUAAAUUCUUCUAGCUUACAAUGGCGUUGUACUUUUGUCUAUGGUGAACCAAGAGCAAGUGAAAGGUAUAACAUGUGGGAAUUGCUAAGAAGAAUUAAGAGUAACUCAAAUGCUCUAUGGCUGAUGAUGGGUGACUUCAAUGAGACGAUGUGGCAAGUUGAGCACUUCUCUGCCUCAAAGAGAUUGGAAUGA